GACUGAGCUCGUUCACCCCGUGACAGCGGGAGAGCAGCUCUGCCGCAAGGAAACACAGAAUCGCCGAGCUCGGAAAAGAGCUCCGAGCUCAGCCAGCCCAGCCUCAGCCUCCCCUGGGCGCCUCGAGGCCGCUCCCCGCCCCUCCGAUGGCGGCCCCCUCCCCUCCUAUCGCCGCUCCCCCCCCUCCUAUCGCCGCUCCUGCGAUCGAACUGUGGGUUGUGGAGUCAAUUCCCCUUUUCCGUUGUUCAAUGCAGAAGCAACACUUCCACUUUCCACAAAUCUUACUGGCUUACAGAGUUCGAUUCCGCACAUCCUGAGCACGGAGGGACGAUCGCAGCCCGGAGACCGGGCAAAAAAAAAACAAAAAAAACCGGCGGCUGCGGGUCCGCACGUGGCGCCACGCGAUGCCCUGGGGGCCGCCAUCUUGGCAGUGGCGCACGCUGCCAAGGGACUGCGGAGGUCACGUGAUCGCGGGCACUUCCGGUUACGGGGAGAGCUUAUCACGUGACACUGGAGCGCCGCGCUUAUUGCGAGCGCCCCCUCGUGGCUGCGCUCGGCGUUGCGGCGCCGCCCGCCUCCCCCCCCGCCGUUCCGCCCCGUCUUCGUUCCGCCGAACCGCCCCGCAACGGAUCCGAGCGGCACCGCCCGCCCGCCCCGUACCCAAAAAAACCCACCGAAACGACCGCAAAUAACCCCCAACGGAACCGACCCCGCUCUCGUAGCGCCCCGUCCGUGCCGCCAGCCCGAACCGAGCCCGAACCGCCCCGCGCUCCGCGCACCCCAAAGCCGCCCUUAACGCCGCCCGCAGCGCCCCCAGCCUGCAGCCCUGCGCCGCCCCAAGCCCGGGUCCGCUUCCCAGCCCCCUGCCCAGGACAGACCUGCGUCCGGCCGUCCGUCCCCGUCCGUCCCUGUCCCGUCUCCGUCCGUCCGUCCGUCCCCAUCCAGACUCCGUCCGUCUUCGCCUCUGCGCGCAGACGUGGGAGGGGAGCCGUUGUGAAGAUCCACCAAUAGCAGUGCAGUGCGGCGCUCGUGGAACGCGCCCAUUGGCUGCGCUGUGCUGACGUCACGACCGCCCUCUAUAAAAGGUCAGCCGCGGGAAGCGGCGCUGCAGUUGUGGGGUCAGACAGGAAUGGGGCGGAGCUGUGGGGCUCCAUAUGGGGUCACAUUUAAUGGGGCAGAGCUGUGGGGU
rnacentral:lncRNA from 1 species